UCCAUUCCGGUGAGUGCGUGCUGCAGACCCCUGUGGGGAUACAAAAUUUGUAUCCGCAUCUGAGCUGCGAGCAGCAAAAAUGGUCUGUGGCUAUCCGUGGAUAGAAAGCAGAUUCCCGCGGAUGUGCAGGGCUCUACAGGUGCAUGUGACCAAGUCACCUGGUACUGGACUCCAUCUUGGAAUACCAGUGUUUUUCCACUGACCGGGCGUGGAGACGAAGAGGGGAGAAAAAGGAUUCCCGCCAUAUGCAAAAGCUAUUUAAGGCAGGGGAGUGACAUCAUCAUGGUUCUUCACUGACUUCCUGCCCAAGAAGAUUGCUGGAAACACCUGAGAAACAAAGACUGGACUAGGGGAGAAGGGCUGAACCCAGGCUAGAGAGAUUUCUAGCCUGUGUAAGUGUAAGCAGAGUCAGGAUGAGCUCUACCCUGACAUCUGGUGGUGAAUUAUGGCAAGUGUGGAAAAGAACUCCAGGGGCUGAUCUGGUUUGCAUAGGCACACCCACUCGCCUGGCAUGAAACAACAGCAACUCAAAGUGGUUACUUUGGCUGGUGUGGGAUCCCCAGUUUCUCUAUUAUUGGGGCAGGAAGAAUAAAGUUUUGUUACCCUGAUUCUGUGAAUCAAGGCCAGUGGAACUGUUGUAUGACAGAAGGACUGAGUGAGUCCUUCACCAUUACCUAAGUAGCACUUGCUUGACAAGGGGCAUGGGUUACAAAACCCAGUGAAUUGAGAGAGGAGGGGGACAGGUAUUUAUAUCUGAUGGUAUGGGUACCCUUUGAGGGUUUGAAACACCAAUUGCACUAUCUCCUCUCUCCACUGUUGAAUGUCAGAGCUAACUUUGAUUCCAUUAGGAGUCUAGUUACAGGCUGCUGAGCUGAAUUCACUUUGGGCCAAUGGUGCAUUAGCACUGGGGCUCCCCUAUGAGCUGAAAUUGCUAAGAGCUGAAAUCACAAAAGAGCUAAAGUUAUUAAGAGCUGAGAUCACUGAGACUGUGUUAACUAGUGGGGGAGCCUGAAGCUAUAUUGCUAAGCGGCUGACUGAGCAGCUAGCCGAGUGGAGCCUCACGGGGACGGUUGGAGCGGAGCUGAGCGACUCACAGGUCGGUGAGCAGGGCAGAGUGGCUGGAGAAGCAGCGAGCAGAGCGGAGCCUUGUGGGAGCGGCCCAAGGAACAGCUGAAGUGGAGCAGAGCUGAGCGGCUCACAGGUCGGUGAGCAGAGCGGAGCAGCUGCCAGAGCAGUUCGUGGACGGCGGGAGCGGCUCGCGGGACAGCUGGUGGAGUGGAGUGGAGCGGUUCAUGGUGAAGGCUGCGGCGGAACCCCACGGAGAGGCAGCCAGUCGGCCUCAGAUCACGUAAGGUGCCCCUUAACACCCUGCGUGCCUCCCCGCCUCCCCCUCCCCCCCGCUUGAACUCUGGGGCUGCACUGACCAGGGACAGAGACUUUGGGGGGUUGUUGGACUUUUGGGACUUUGGUGAUUCUUGGGUUGCUGGUUUCAAGAACCAAAGAGAAAGGACACAGCCCAAUUUGCUGGGGUGGGUUUUUUGUUCAUGAAGCCUGUUUGUGGUGUUUUUCCAAUUUAAUGCUGAUGUCGUUUACCUCAUGUUAUUAAACAUUUUCUGUUACA